AUUCUCCUUCUUGUUGAUGUGAACCGAGAGCCGCUGCCACAGGUGUUGCCCCCGGCUGCUCUUUUCGUUCUGGGCCCAUGUCACCGAUUUUCCAUUGGAGCUGCGGAGAGAAGAGAGUGGAGAAGAGUCCUUCUUAUAAGUUUGUUUUAGGCCUGCAAGUUGAAUAAUCAUUUCGUCAGAGGAAAGCGUGGUGUUUUGCCUUGAGCACCUAGCACUGCGAUCUACAGUUGCGUCUUGGACCGCCAAAAUGGUACAUUUUACUUGGAUUUUCAACAGUUGUUCUUCGCCCCUUCUGUGUAGGACACUUACAUAAUUCAUUCAUUGCAACAGGCUCUGAGUGCCAGGAUGGAAAAGACAUUGCCAGCAGCAUUCGCCAAAGGAAGCCACAUUCCCACAAUGGAUGAAGGACAUCCAGGCUUCAGUGAGUGAUGGAACAUAAUGAAAUGUCGCGAGAGUGAAAGACGUUGCUCUUCCCUCAAAGAAGCACAAUCCAAAUUUCAGAAACCCACGCAGAAUGUUCAAGAGAUAGCCAAUAGUCUUGUUUGACCAUGUGGGGAUGGAGUAGCAGUCAAAGCUUCAAAAGGCAGAAUUUGGAACAUUUUAUCUGCUGUAAGAGUUCGGUGUAUCUAAUGCUGUAUAUUUGAUCUUCUUUUUCUAGGUUGUUUGACCUUAGGCACCAUUAUCUACUUCUUGAACCUUCUCCACUGCUUCACUCAAUGGUGGUGUUUCAAAUAUAGCACCACCUCCAUACAGAGUGAUCUUAAAACCUCAUUUUUUUUUUAAAAAAAAGUUAAUUGGCCCUUAGAGAUUGAAGAGCAGAGAAGUGACUCAAGUAAAACAGUGUUAAGAGGUAGUGUUGAUAUUAUAGGAUUGCUGUGCCAUGAUGCUAAGGUAUAAACGAGUGUGAAAAGAGUGAAAAUGGAAUGGAAUGUACUGGCAGGAAAACUAGGGGGGAAAGCACAUUUGCUUUUCCUAUUGGGUUUUUCUUCUUAACAUAAGAAGAUUUCAUUAAAAAAAAGUUGCUACUGAAACAAUAAAUGUUUCCAGGAAUGAUUUUCAAGUAAAGUGAGCAUUAAUGUAUUCUAAAGACUAGGAACUUUAAGUAACAUGGAUAAACAAAAUCCACCAAGGUGCCUAUUGCUUAUUUGACA